GAUGAACGCUAGCGAUAGGCCUAACACAUGCAAGUCGAGGGGCAUCACAUGAAGUAGCAAUACGGAUGGUGGCGACCGGCGCACGGGUGAGUAACACGUAUGCAACCUGCCUUCAACAAGGGGAUAACCCGUUGAAAGACGGACUAAUACCCUAUAACACAGGGGUCCCGCAUGGGAAUAUUUGUUAAAGGACAACCGGUUGAAGAUGGGCAUGCGUUCCAUUAGCUAGUUGGCGGGGUAAGGGCCCACCAAGGCAACGAUGGAUAGGGGAACUGAGAGGUUUAUCCCCCACACUGGUACUGAGACACGGACCAGACUCCUACGGGAGGCAGCAGUGAGGAAUAUUGGUCAAUGGACGCAAGUCUGAACCAGCCACGUCGCGUGAAGGAAGACGGCCCUACGGGUUGUAAACUUCUUUUGAAGGGAAUAAAGUGUAGUACGCGUACUAUUUUGCAUGUACCUUACGAAUAAGGAUCGGCUAACUCCGUGCCAGCAGCCG
rnacentral:rRNA from 1 species